rnacentral:rRNA from 1 species
GAUCCUGGCUCAGGACGAACGCUGGCGGCGUGCUUAACACAUGCAAGUCGAACGGAAAGGCCCCUUUUUGGGGGUGCUCGAGUGGCGAACGGGUGAGUAACACGUGAGUAACCUACCCUUGACUUUGGGAUAACUUCAGGAAACUGGGGCUAAUACCGGAUAGGAGCUCCUGCUGCAUGGUGGGGGUUGGAAAGUUUCGGCGGUUGGGGAUGGACUCGCGGCUUAUCAGCUUGUUGGUGGGGUAGUGGCUCACCAAGGCUUUGACGGG